rnacentral:rRNA from 1 species
ACGCACGCUGGCGGCAUGCCUAACACAUGCAAGUCGAACGGGUACCUUCGGGUGCUAGUGGCGCACGGGUGCGUAACGCGUGGGAAUCUGCCCUUGGGUUCGGAAUAACUCAGCGAAAGCUGUGCUAAUACCGGAUGAUGUCGAAAGACCAAAGAUUUAUCGCCCGAGGAUGAGCCCGCGUUGGAUUAGCUAGUUGGUGGGGUAAAGGCCUACCAAGGCGACGAUCCAUAGCUGGUCUGAGAGGAUGAUCAGCCACACUGGGACUGAGACACGGCCCAGACUCCUACGGGAGGCAGCAGUGGGGAAUAUUGGACAAUGGGCGAAAGCAUGAUCCAGCAAUGCAGCGUGAGUGAUGAAGGCCUUAGGGUUGUAAAGCUCUUUUACCCGGGAUGAUAAUGACAGUACCGGGAGAAUAAGCUCCGGCUAACUCCGUG